AGUGAACGCUGGCGGUAGGCCUAACACAUGCAAGUCGAACGGCAGCACAGGAGAGCUUGCUCUCUGGGUGGCGAGUGGCGGACGGGUGAGGAAUCCAUCGGAAUCUGCCCAGUCGUGGGGGAUAACGUAGGGAAACUUACGCUAAUACCGCAUACGACCUUCGGGUGAAAGAGGGGGAUCGCAAGACCUCUCGCGAUUGGAUGAGCCGAUGUCGGAUUAGCUAGUUGGCGGGGUAAUGGCCCACCAAGGCGACGAUCCGUAGCUGGUCUGAGAGGAUGAUUAGCCACACUGGAACUGAGACACGGUCCAGACUCCUACGGGAGGCAGCAGUGGGGAAUAUUGGACUAUGGGCGCAAGCCUGAUCCAGCCAUACCGCGUGGGUGAAGAAGGCCUUCGGGUUGUAAAGCCCUUUUGUUGGGAAAGAAAUCUUUCAGGCUAAUACCCUGGGAGGAUGACGGUACCCAAAGAAUAAGCACCGGCUAACUUCGUG
rnacentral:rRNA from 1 species